UGUUUGAAGCAAAUUGCGCAA
rnacentral:piRNA from 1 species